GACGAACGCUGGCGGCGUGCCUAAUACAUGCAAGUCGAGCGAAGUUUUUCUGGUGCUUGCACUAGAAAAACUUAGCGGCGAACGGGUGAGUAACACGUAAAGAACCUGCCUCAUAGACUGGGACAACUAUUGGAAACGAUAGCUAAUACCGGAUAACAGUAUUUCUCGCAUGAGAGAUAUUUAAAAGUUGGUUAUGCUAACACUAUGAGAUGGCUUUGCGGUGCAUUAGCUAGUUGGUGGGGUAAAGGCCUACCAAGGCGACGAUGCAUAGCCGACCUGAGAGGGUGAUCGGCCACACUGGGACUGAGACACGGCCCAGACUCCUACGGGAGGCAGCAGUAGGGAAUCUUCCGCAAUGGGCGAAAGCCUGACGGAGCAACGCCGCGUGAGUGAAGAAGGAUUUCGGUUCGUAAAGCUCUGUUGUUAGGGAAGAAUGGAUAUGUAGUAACUAUACA
rnacentral:rRNA from 1 species